UUGACCUCGAAUCAGGUAGGGAUACCCGCUGAACUUAAGCAUAUCAAUAAGCGGAGGAAAAGAAACCAACCGGGAUUACCCUAGUAACGGCAGGAAAAAACG
rnacentral:rRNA from 1 species